rnacentral:lncRNA from 10 species
GAAUUCCCUGUUAAAUCCAUCAAGUGAACCCAGCUCCUUUUUGGGGCAGAGACAGCAUUUGGAGGAUGUGAGAGCUUCCGUCACUAUUUGUGAAUUCACACAUCAAAAGUGAUGCCUUGCUUUGACUCUGCGUGGAGGCAGCCCUGAGUCUGAUGCCCACCAUCUCUCAUGAGAGACAGCAGAUACCCCGAGAGCUAGCCAGCAGCAGCCUCCUCACCUCGACGACGAGCUGAAGAACUGUGCAGAGCGUGUGAAGAAUCUCACCACCUCAAGACAUUUUUCGAAGUUACUGAAAUGAUUAAAUGAAUCAGAUGCUUCAGACCACUCCAAACUGCAGGUCAUGAGCCAUUAGUGGGUCAUUAUAUCAUUUUGGUUUUAAAAUGCUGGUCAGGCCCAGCAUUAAAAAAUAAAUAAAUAGAAAUUACCAUGCAU